rnacentral:tRNA from 1 species
GGAGGGCUAGACCUAACUGGUAAGGCAGCGGUCUUGAAAACCGCCGGGCGCAAGCCCUUGGGGGUUCGAGCUGCGGCUGCUGACGCAGCCUUGCUCUGCUGCGCAACGAGUCCCCCGCCCUCCG